CUCAGGGAGACUGAUUUGAGUAAUAAUAAAACUACUGUCUCCCACACAGCCGGCUCUGCAUGAAUUGCUCUUUAUUGCAAUUCCCCUGUCUUGAGAAAUCGCUUCUGUCUAGGCAGCGGGCAAGGUGAGCCCAUUGGGCAGUUACAAGGAGACACGGAGACACAGAGACACAAAGACAGACACACAAAAAAGAGACUGUCAUGUGAAAAGACAGACACACAGAGAGAACAUCGUAAGAAGACAGAGGAGGAGAUUGGAGAGAAGCAACUGUAAGCCAAGGAACACCAAAGACUGCAGGAAACCCCAAAAACUAGGAACAGGGCAUGGAACAGAUUCUACCCAUAUUCUCAGGAAGAGUCCCUGCCAACACCUGGAAUUCAAGCUUCUGGAUUCCAGAUCUGGCCUCUCUCUGUCACUCAGGCUGGGGUGCGGUGGCAUGAUCACAGCUCACUGCAAUCUCUGCCUCCCAGGCUCAAGCAAUCCUCCCAUCUCAGCCUCCUGAGUAGCUGGGACCACAGAAAAAACCUGGGCUUAGAUAAUGAUUACGCCAAACCACUGGAUUCAAGAAAAAGCUCGUCAUGCCCAACUAUUGCAUGACAGUAUGUGAGAGCCAACCGACUAAAGAUAUUUUAGGAGAAUAAAAUAUUUGGAGAGCAUUGGAGUAAGGACUGUCAUUCCUGGAAUGGAAGCAUUUAAUUAAAAUGACCAUAAGCCUGAAGUGACUGGGGCAUGGGAAUAUCCUUGAUGAGAAGAUAGUGAAGCAUGUAACACCCUGGGAUAGAUGGUGCUGAUGGAACAUUUUGAGGAGACCCAAGUUGUUGGUGGAGGUGAUGGGAGACUCAGGACAACAGAAAGUAUGGGAUUUUCAAUGCUGCAGAAAUGGGGCUGAUAUGGUUUGGCUCUGUCCCCACCCAAAUAUCACCUUGAACUGUAGCUCCCAUAAUUCCCAUGUGUGGUGGGAGGGACCCAGUGGGAGGUAAUUGAAUCAUGGGGGCUGGUUUCUCCCAUGCUAUUCUCAUGAUAGUGAGUAAGUCUCACGAGAUCUGAUGGUUUUAUAAAGGGGAGUUUCCCUACACAAAUUCUGUCUUGCCUGCUGCCAUGUAAGACGUGACUUUGCUCCUUAUUCACCUUCUGCUGCGAUUGUGAUGCCACCCCCAGCCAUGAGUGAGCCAAACUCACUGUUACUGUGAGUCAAUUAAACCUCUUUCCUUUAUAAAUUACUCAGUCUCAGAUAUGUCUUUAUUAGUAGCAUGAGAACGGACUAAUACAGGGGCUCUGUUCUGACUAGGACAGAAAUUUAACACUUGGCAUCACAGAAUGGCCCCAACCUGAGCUAGCAGUGGGUGAAUGGUCAGCUCACAGUACAAGCUGCUUUUGGUAAACGUCUUGCAGACUGCAACCAGCCUAAAGCUAAAAUCACAGUAAAUAAGCAUGAGCGGAUAUAAAAGAGAGAUGAUAGAUUUGUGAUUUGUUGACAUAACCACCAGGACAUCUGUAUCACAAGUGAAAAUUAUAGCCUGAUUCCCAGAUGCUGACCGCCAUGCAGGGAAAGGCCUAGCAAUGCAGUGAAUUCCUAAUUCAUUUAUUAGCUUUGAUGACUUUUCAUGGACUGGGAAGGAAAUCCCUAAAACAUAUGGAUCUUAUAUCCUCUUGUGAAGAAUGUUGGUUUCACAAGGCAGAAGGAAAAGAAAGAGCUAGUAGGAGAGCAACAUAUGAGGUGGCUUCUUUCUCUUAUAUGAAAUUUGUGGAUAUUAUUUUCAACUAAGACCUAGAAUCUGCA
rnacentral:lncRNA from 1 species